rnacentral:rRNA from 1 species
AAGUCGAGUGCGCGUCUGUAGCAAUACAGAUGGCGCACGGCGCACGGGUGCGUAACACGUGGGUAAUCUGCCCUUCGAAGGGGAAUAACUCGCCGAAAGGCGAGCUAAUUCCGCAUAACAUUCCGAGAACCUUGGUUUUUGGAUUCAAAGGCGUAAGUCGUCGGAGGAGGAGCCCGCGCACGAUUAGCUAGUUGGUAGGGUAACGGCCUACCAAGGCUAUGAUCGUUAGCUGGUCUGAGAGGAUGGCCAGCCACACUGGAACUGAGACACGGUCCAGACUCCUACGGGAGGCAGCAGUGGGGAAUCUUGCACAAUGGGCGAAAGCCUGAUGCAGCGACGCCGCGUGGGGGAUGAAGCUUCUCGGAGUGUAAACCCCUUUCGACCCGGACGAAUGCCCCGCAAGGGGACUGACGGUACGGGUAUAAGAAGCCCCGGCUAACUACGUGCCAGCAGCCGCGGUAAGACGUAGGGGGCCAGCGUUGCUCGGAAUUACUGGGUGUAAAGGGUUCG